rnacentral:lncRNA from 1 species
UGGAGCUUUGUUCCCAGGCUAAGGCUCAAAUCAGAGCUGUAGCCACUGGCCUAUACCACAGCCACAGCAACGCAGGAUCCAAGUUGCAUCUGCGUGCGACCUGCACCACAGCUCUCGGCAACACUGGAUCCUUAACCCAGAGUGAGGCCAGGAAUUGACCCUGUGUCCUCAUGGAUGCCAGUCGGAUUCAUUUCUGCUGAGCCACAAGGGGAACUCCUGAAUAUGUACAUUUUGAAGAUAGCUAAGAUGAUUCCCAUAGGAACAAUUUCUAGAAGUGGAAUAAAGUGAUGAUAAUAAAAGUAUCUGUUCCAGAGAGUGGAUGUAAGGAAAAUGAGAUCAAAUGAAUUAAACCACUCACAACAGUGUUUGGUACAUGCCAAACAGUCAAAGAAUGUUAGGUGUGAUUGUUGAAAUUAUGUUCCACUUGAUAAAUAUUUAGAAAUAACAUUCCAGUGGACUCCUUUUCAUUUUUUUUCAUUUUUUCAAAGUUUUUUUUGAAGUAGGGUUGAUUUACAAGGUUGUGAUAAUUUCUGCUGUAAAACAGAAAUUAGUUAUGUAUACAAACAUCCAUUCUCUUUCAGAUUUUUUUUUUCCCAUAUAGAUUAAUAGAUUAUCACAGAAUAUUAGCUAGAGUUCCCUGGUCUUUUUUUUUUUUUUUUUUUUUUUAAGGCCACACCUGAGGCAUAUGGAGGCUCCCAGGCUAGGGGUCGAAUCAGAUCUGUAGCUGAUGGCCUAUAACACAGCCACAGCCAUGCAGGAUCCAAGCUGCAUCUGUGACCUACACGACAGCUCAUAGCAACGCCAGAUCCUUAACCCACUGAGUGAGGCCAGGGAUCAAACCCUCAUCCUCAUGGAUACUACUCAGGCUUGUUACCACUGACCCAUGACUCCCUCUGGUCAUUCUUAAUAUAAGCAUGUCAUCAAACAUUUUAAUAGUGGUUAAAAUAUUGUGAACCACAACACUAAGCUUUGUGAAGGACAUCUGAGGGAAGAGAUGGGCUUCUGGCAAGAAGAGAUUAAAGAAACCAGCAACGGGCCCUUUGAAGAGUGGAUUAAAGGAGUGAGAAAUAGCCUAGAAAGAAAUGAUGAGACAAAUGUCACCAUUUCAUCUGAUGUACUUGGAUAUUUGGAUGAUUCUUCAAUCCCAAAAGCCAUGCAGCUAUUGUCACAAGGUACACCGGCUGGGACCAGGCCUACAGGUGGCAGGCAGCAGUAUCCACAGCAAGGCCCAGGGAGACAGGCUCAAUGGCCAGGGUUGGGAC